AGCGAACGCUGGCGGCAGGCCUAACACAUGCAAGUCGAACGAACCUUUCGGGGUUAGUGGCGGACGGGUGAGUAACACGUGGGAACGUGCCUUUAGGUUCGGAAUAACUCAGGGAAACUUGUGCUAAUACCGAAUGUGCCCUUCGGGGGAAAGAUUUAUCGCCUUUAGAGCGGCCCGCGUCUGAUUAGCUAGUUGGUUGAGGUAAUGGCUCACCAAGGCGACGAUCAGUAGCUGGUCUGAGAGGAUGAUCAGCCACAUUGGGACUGAGACACGGCCCAAACUCCUACGGGAGGCAGCAGUGGGGAAUGUUGCGCAAUGGGCGAAAGCCUGACGCAGCCAUGCCGCGUGAAUGAUGAAGGUCUUAGGAUUGUAAAAUUCUUUCACCGGGGACGAUAAUGACGGUACCCGGAGAAGAAGCCCCGGCUAACUUCGUG
rnacentral:rRNA from 1 species